AUGAACGCUGGCGGCGUGCCUAACACAUGCAAGUCGAACGGAGCUGCUUUGAUGAAGUUUUCGGAUGGAUUUAAAACAGCUUAGUGGCGGACGGGUGAGUAACGCGUGGGUAACCUGCCUCACACUGGGGGAUAACAGUUAGAAAUAGCUGCUAAUACCGCAUAAGCGCACGGUUCCGCAUGGAACAGUGUGAAAAACUCCGGUGGUGUGAGAUGGACCCGCGUCUGAUUAGCCAGUUGGCGGGGUAACGGCCCACCAAAGCGACGAUCAGUAGCCGGCCUGAGAGGGUGAACGGCCACAUUGGGACUGAGACACGGCCCAAACUCCUACGGGAGGCAGCAGUGGGGAAUAUUGCACAAUGGGGGAAACCCUGAUGCAGCGACGCCGCGUGAGUGAAGAAGUAUUUCGGUAUGUAAAGCUCUAUCAGCAGGGAAGAAAGUGACGGUACCUGAAUAAGAAGCCCCGGCUAACUACGUGCCAGCAGCCGCGGUAAUACGUAGGGGGCAAGCGUUAUCCGGAUUUACUGGGUGUAAAGGGAGCGUAGACGGCAAGGCAAGUCUGAAGUGAAAGCCCGGUGCUUAACGCCGGGACUGCUUUGGAAACUGUUUAGCUGGAGUGCCGGAGAGGUAAGCGGAAUUCCUAGUGUAGCGGUGAAAUGCGUAGAUAUUAGGAAGAACACCAGUGGCGAAGGCGGCUUACUGGACGGUAACUGACGUUGAGGCUCGAAAGCGUGGGGAGCAAACAGGAUUAGAUACCCUGGUAGUCCACGCCGUAAACGAUGAUUGCUAGGUGUAGGUGGGUAUGGACCCAUCGGUGCCGCAGCUAACGCAAUAAGCAAUCCACCUGGGGAGUACGUUCGCAAGAAUGAAACUCAAAGGAAUUGACGGGGACCCGCACAAGCGGUGGAUGAUGUGGAUUAAUUCGAUGCAACGCGAAAAACCUUACCUAGCCUUGACAUGCCAGGAAGGUCUGAGAGAUCAGACCGUGCCCGCAAGGGAAUCUGGACACAGGUGCUGCAUGGCUGUCGUCAGCUCGUGUCGUGAGAUGUUGGGUUAAGUCCUGCAACGGGCGCAACCCUUAUUCUUAGUAGCCAGCAGGUAAGGCUGGGCACUCUAAGGAGACUGCCGGGGAUAACCCGGAGGAAGGUGGGGAUGACGUCAAAUCAUCAUGCCCCUUAUGAUCUGGGCUACACACGUGCUACAAUGGCGUAACAAAGGGAAGCGAACCUGCGAGGGUGAGCAAAUCCCAAAAAUAACGUCCCAGUUCGGACUGUAGUCUGCAACCCGACUACACGAAGCUGGAAUCGCUAGUAAUCGCGAAUCAGAAUGUCGCGGUGAAUACGUUCCCGGGUCUUGUACACACCGCCCGUCACACCAUGGGAGUCGGAAAUGCCCGAAGUCUGUGACUCAACCGUAAGGAGAGAGCAGCCGAAGGCAGGUCUGAUAACUGGGGUG
rnacentral:rRNA from 1 species